rnacentral:rRNA from 1 species
UACGGAGGGUGCAAGCGUUAUCCGGAUUCACUGGGUUUAAAGGGUGCGUAGGAGACAGGUAAGUCAGUGGUGAAAUCAUCCGAGCUUAACUUGGAACUGCCGUUGAUACUAUCUGCCUUGAAUAUUGUGGAGGUGAGCGGAAUAUGUCAUGUAGCGGUGAAAUGCUUAGAUAUGACAUAGAACACCAAUUGCGAAGGCAGCUCGCUACACAUAUAUUGACUCUGAGGCACGAAAGCGUGGGGAUCAAACAGG